AAAAACAACUAAUGCAGUAAUAAGUCUCGACCCAGGCUUCACGGAGUAAUUUCUUUCUUUUUUUGUAUCGAGAUCAAAUGUGUGCAAGACUGACAGCAGUGAACGUGGGGAAAAUUUGUGGAAUAAAAGAGGAGAAGGAGCGACAACUGGACGCUGUUUUCAAACAGCCUCGAGUUGUCUUGCACUGAGCAGGCAUUGCUGAAGAUCUUGAGCAUCAGGAGCCAAAACAUUCACCUCACAUUAAAGAGGAAGAGGAGCCAGAGCCUGCACACAAUAAAGUGGAAGAAGAGCCAAACACCCACACAUUAAAGAGGAGGAGCAGGAGGACGAUAUCACCAAGUUCUCAUUGACUGAUGUCAUUGUGAAGAGUGAAGAAAGGGAUGCAGACCACUGUGGAAAAUCCCAAUGAGAUGGCCUCUUAGCUCCUUGAUCAGAUAGUGACGACAGGUCACAUUCCUCUGUUGAAGAUGAUGACGACGACGAUGAUGGGAAUGAACACUCCAAAGACGCCGUCAGUAAAGAUCUUCAUCUUGAGGAGCAGGGGCCAGAGCCUCGUUACAUUAAAGAAGAGGAGGGAGAGCUCAACAAGCUUUCAUUUAUUGUGUCAUUGUGAAGAGUGAAGAUGAAGAAGAUGGUGAUGCAGACCACUGUGGCGGAUCCCAAGCAAGCAGCUUAUUAGCUCCACUAUCAGAUAGUGAUGACAUUACAUCACGCUCUUCUGACACUGAUGAGGAUGAACACUUUAAAGAUGAUAUGACAUAUCACACUGACAACAAACACUGGAAAUGUUUUCAGUGCGACAAAACAUUUGUCAAAAAGUCAACGUUGGAAAGAGAUAGAUGUCACGAAGGAGAAAAACCCUUUAGAUGCUCAUUGUGUAAUAAGAGAUUCACACAGAAGGGACAGUUAGGAGCACACGCAAGAAGACACACUGGAGAGAAACUUUUUGCCUGCUCAUUACUGCAACUUGAGUUUUGUUGAUCGUUCAAAUUUAAUCCGACAUUGCAAAACACACACCGGAGAGAAACCUUUUACCUGUUCAGUUUGUGGUAAAAGAUUCACUCAGAAGGCAAAUUUGGAAGCACACACAAGAAUACACACAGGUGAAAAACCUUUUUCUUGUUUAGUCCGCAAAAAAACGUUUCAGUGAUCAUUCAUCAUUUGUUCGACACAAAAGAACUCACAUUGGUGAGAAACCUUUUCUUUGCUCAGUGUGUGGUAGAAGUUUUUCUGAAAAGGCACAUUUUGUAGUACACACAAGAACACACUGGUGAAAAAACAUUUUCCUGUUCGGUUUGUAACAGAAGUUUUAAGGCUUUUUCAACAUUUUCUCGGCAACAAAGAAAGCAUACUGGUGAGAAACCUUUUACCUGCUCACUGUGUGAUAAAAGGUUUUCCUUCAAGACAUUUUUUUUUGGCACACACCAAGGCCUUUUUCCUGUUCAGUCUGUAACAAAAGUUUCAGUAGUCAUUCAACAUUGGUUCAACACCAAAGAAGUCAUACUGGUGACAAACCGCAUUCUUGCUCAGUGUGCGUUAUGAGAUUAAUUUAUCGUUCACAUUUAGAAUGACACGAAAGAACCCAUACAGGUGAAAAAGUGUUCAGUUGGAAGGAAGUUGUGUUGAAGUUUGUCUUCCUGAAGAAGUAAAUGCCUAAUUAUUAAAUAAAAAAAUAUCCACAUUAAUAUAACAGGAACUAUGAAAUUCUAAAAAAAGUUGUUAAAAUGAGGAGAGGGAAAAGAAAGAAAAUAAUAUUUGUAUGCAUAAUGUCAACAAAGAUGAUUAUAAUACUGGGCAUUUGUUGACAAGAUACAGUGUAGUUUUGUAUUAGUUUAAUGUGUAGUGGAGUAUAGGAGACACACAUUUUGUCUUAAUUUUUCAUAAUUUAAACCUUUUCCCACGAGUCUUAAUAACAUGUCUGGCAUGUGUUCAUCAUAGUUUCCCAAGGAUCAAGAAUUAUAGAUGUAUUUUUACAGCAUAUUUCUUGCUAAGGUGGAUUUGGUUCAUUUUAGGGGUGGAUCUGUCUCAUGCGGUCUCGGCGCCCUUUGUACGAUGUCAAUGCACCGGACUCUUGCUAUAUUAGUCAUUCAAACUGCUCUAAAUGAUAGAGGACUCUGCAUCUUUUUGCACAAUUGUCAAAAAAUAAGAAUAAUUGUACCGGCAUUACCAUAUAAUGAGCAACCCUUUAUUACUCAGUGACUGUUUUUCUCAAUGUCUAUGUCUAAAGUGUUCUCUGACAAUUGACUGUCUGUUGUCGUACUAGAGUGGCUCCAAACACCGGAGACAAAUUCCUUGUGUGUUUUUUGGACAUACU